rnacentral:lncRNA from 1 species
GUCUGGAAAAGUAAUGCUACCCGUCUUACUAGAAAUUAUUGUUUCUAGGGCUCCCUGUAUUAAGUUCAGAAAAAAAUUGUUCUUCUCUUUGUUAAAUACACCCCAUCUUCUGCUAGAGACUCGUGUUUAGCUUUUAUGUAAGGAUAUCGAAUGUAACAUCCAUGCUUUGUCAUGUGGACAACAAUGGAGCUGUUUAACCGACGCCUGCACUUGUCCAUACAUUACAAUUCCCAUUGUUUGAAGACCGUCAUUGCAGUCUUGGCAAUAAAACUUGAGACCAAAUCAAGUUGUAUCAGGCAAAUCAAUAUAUAACCUUGACAUAAAU